rnacentral:rRNA from 1 species
GUGGGGAAUAUUGGACAAUGGGCGAAAGCCUGAUCCAGCCAUGCCGCGUGAGUGAUGAAGGCCUUCGGGUUGUAAAGCUCUUUCACCCACGACGAUGAUGACGGUAGUGGGAGAAGAAGCCCCGGCUAACUUCGUGCCAGCAGCCGCGGUAAUACGAAGGGGGCAAGCGUUGUUCGGAAUGACUGGGCGUAAAGGGCGCGUAGGCGGCGCGUUGCGUCAGAUGUGAAAUCCCCGGGCUCAACCUGGGAAUGGCAUUUGAUACGGGCGUGCUGGAAUCCGUGAGAGGUUGGUGGAAUUCCCAGUGUAGAGGUGAAAUUCGUAGAUAUUGGGAAGAACACCAGUGGCGAAGGCGGCCAACUGGCACGGUAUUGACGCUGAGGCGCGAAAGCGUGGGGAGCAAACAGGAUUAGAAACCCCUGUAGUCC